UACGGAGGAUCCAAGCGUUAUCCGGAAUCAUUGGGUUUAAAGGGUCCGUAGGCGGGUCAAUCAGUCAGUGGUGAAAGUCUGCAGCUUAACUGUAGAAUUGCCAUUGAUACUGUUGACCUUGAGUAAUUAUGAAGUGGUUAGAAUAUGUGGUGUAGCGGUGAAAUGCAUAGAUAUUACACAGAAUACCGAUUGCGAAGGCAGAUCACUAAUAAUAGAUUGACGCUGAUGGACGAAAGCGUAGGUAGCGCACCGG
rnacentral:misc_RNA from 1 species